rnacentral:sRNA from 1 species
UUCUCAGAGUGACAGAACCAUGACAGCCCGGAGUAACAGCGUGCAGUGGAAACUAGGUCAAGGCAACAAUGGGGUUUUUGAUAUCACGGGUCAAAGUCAUGUCCAAGGUCCAUUUUCUAGAAGUUUCAAAGUCAGGUGCAGGGCUCCUCCAAGCUGGAUGCGAAUGAAAUGGGGUCGAUCUAAGACCAUGGUCUUAUGAAAGAAAAUAGUUUUACAAAACUGUUGCGCUAUAAUUGUUAUCUUGCUUUAUGGAAUAAUUCUUGGAUUGCAAAA